rnacentral:rRNA from 1 species
GACAGAGGGUGCAAACGUUGCUCGGAAUCACUGGGCGUAAAGGGCGUGUAGGCGGGAGAGAAAGUCGGGCGUGAAAUCCCUGGGCUCAACCCAGGAACUGCACUCGAAACUUCCCUUCUUGAGUGCCGGAGAGGAAAGCGGAAUACCUGGUGUAGAGGUGAAAUUCGUAGAUAUCAGGUGGAACACCAGUGGCGAAGGCGGCUUUCUGGACGGUAACUGACGCUGAGACGCGAAAGCGUGGGGAGCAAACAGG